AACGAGUUUCAUUGUUGUUAUAAUGAUGUGUUUGGAGGGGCUCUGCCUCCGGGACCACCCGGUGACUCAAUCAAACCAACACCUCCACAUCAGGGGAGUGAAUGGAGGCGCUGCGGGGACUAAAGGGGCGUUUGUUGGCGCAGUCGGGUCCAACCGGAGGAGGGCGGAGCUCCGCGCACCGUCAGCUGAGGAGGACAUCUUGACUCCGACCGGAGGAGACGGAGUGUCCGCGUCUCACGGUCAAAUGUCCGGACGAGAGGCCCCAGGACCCCAGGGUGAGAGCGGGGGCCGGCGGGGUGAGAGCGGGGGCGCGCGGAGAGGAGACCGACGGUCCGGACAUUAGCAGCUUCUUCAAACAUCCUGUACAAGACAACCACGUCUUUGUCCUCUGGACAUUAAAGGGACUCGUCUCCAGGUGUCCCCAGGAGGACGUGUCUCCUUUGAGCUGUAGUUCUGUGGUUUUUUUAGGUUUUGAUUUUUGUAGCGUUGGAUGAGAAAAUCAAAACCUAAAGAAAAUACAGCGCUGACAGAGAAACCGCCGGAGACGGGAGGAGACGGGAGGACGCUGCGCUGUCUCCAUGUCCUGGAUGUCCUCAGGUCGGCGUGGACCUUCAGGGCCUCCAUCCAUCUGCAGAAAGGAAGAAUCAGGCUGCUGUUACCAUGGUGACCCUGGAUGAAAAUGACUGGAGGUCAGAGGUCGUCAGUUAAUUGAUGAAUGAAUUAAUGUUUAUUGAUGUUGGAGCUGGUGACCUUUGACCCCGGGACAGAAACUAAAGACCUAAACGUCGACAUGUUAUGAAAUGUUUAGGACGACUUCAGUUCUUUUGUGACGUUUUUCCGGGUCUUUGCUGCAGCUGAUUCAGGUUGUUGCUGUUGAAUCUGAGCAGAAAAUAUUUAAAUAUAAACUUCAGAAUUGAUCUGCUUCUGUUUCCUGUCACAUCAUCAAUAAACAGGAGUGAACCUGAGUCCGACUGUGUCAUGUACUGUGAAAGUUUCUAUCUGAUCCACUCAGGCUGAACUGGAUGUAAACACACCACAUUACUGCACUUUACUACAAUAUUAUAGAUUAACACCUGUAACUUUACAGCUUUUAUUUCUCUCAGUUAUAUAUUGUCAUUAUUAUUAUAUAUAUAUAUAUUCUUCUCUGUUUAUUCUGGCGUGAUGUGUGGAAUCAUUCCUGUUUCUACUGUUGCAAAUACAGAAAUGAUUCAUUUAUUAAUUAAUAAACUUUGAUUUGAUGAAUGAA